rnacentral:rRNA from 1 species
UACGUAGGUGGCAAGCGUUGUCCGGAUUUAUUGGGUUUAAAGGGUGCGUAGGUGGCCCUGUAAGUCAGUGGUGAAAUAUCUCAGCUUAACUGAGAGGGUGCCAUUGAUACUGCAGGGCUUGAGUACAGAUGAGGUAGGCGGAAUUGACGGUGUAGCGGUGAAAUGCGUAGAUAUUGGGAGGAAUACCAGUGGCGAAGGCGGCUCUCUGGACCGGUACUGACGCUGAGGCGCGAAAGCGUGGGUAGCAAACAGG